AACCCUGGUAGUCCACGCCGUAAACGAUGUCGACUUGGAGGUUGUUCCCUUGAGGAGUGGCUUCCGGAGCUAACGCGUUAAGUCGACCGCCUGGGGAGUACGGCCGCAAGGUUAAAACUCAAAUGAAUUGACGGGGGCCCGCACAAGCGGUGGAGCAUGUGGUUUAAUUCGAUGCAACGCGAAGAACCUUACCUACUCUUGACAUCCACGGAAUUUAGCAGAGAUGCUUUAGUGCCUUCGGGAACCGUGAGACAGGUGCUGCAUGGCUGUCGUCAGCUCGUGUUGUGAAAUGUUGGGUUAAGUCCCGCAACGAGCGCAACCCUUAUCCUUUGUUGCCAGCGGUUCGGCCGGGAACUCAAAGGAGACUGCCAGUGAUAAACUGGAGGAAGGUGGGGAUGACGUCAAGUCAUCAUGGCCCUUACGAGUAGGGCUACACACGUGCUACAAUGGCAUAUACAAAGAGAAGCGACCUCGCGAGAGCAAGCGGACCUCAUAAAGUAUGUCGUAGUCCGGAUUGGAGUCUGCAACUCGACUCCAUGAAGUCGGAAUCGCUAGUAAUCGUAGAUCAGAAUGCUACGGUGAAUACGUUCCCGGGCCUUGUACACACCGCCCGUCACACCAUGGGAGUGGGUUGCAAAAGAAGUAGGUAGCUUAAC
rnacentral:rRNA from 1 species